rnacentral:rRNA from 1 species
AUUGAACGCUGGCGGCAUGCCUUACACAUGCAAGUCGAACGGCAGCGCGGGAGCAAUCCUGGCGGCGAGUGGCGAGCGGGUGAGUAGUGCAUCGGAACGUGCCCAGUUGUGGGGGAUAGCCCGGCGAAAGCCGGAUUAAUACCGCAUACGACCUGAGGGUGAAAGCGGGGGACCUGUCAAAGGGCCUCGCGCGAUUGGAGCGGCCGAUGUCAGAUUAGGUUGGUUGGUGGGGUAAAGGCCUACCAAGCCUGCGAUCUGUAGCUGGUCUGAGAGGACGACGAGCCACACUGGGGAUGAGACACGGCCCAGACUCCUACGGGCGGCAGCAGUGGGGAAUUUUGGACAAUGGGCGCAAGCCUGAUCCAGCCAUGCCGCGUGCGGGAAGAAGGCCUUCGGGUUGUAAACCGCUUUUGUCGGGGAAGAAACGGCCUGGGAUAAUACCUUGGGCUAAUGACGGUACCCGAAGAAUAAGCACCGGCUAACUACGUGCCAGCAGCCGCCGUAA